GAGGAGUGCAGGGCGUGUGAAAAACUCCUCUGUGCGUCUCCUCUCCAUUCGUCCUCAUUCCAUAUCUUUUUCCAAUCUAAUGUGCCUCUCCGAGGGGCUCAGAAGGACCAGGAGACAGACAGCAUUGGCAGGUGAUUGGCAUCUCUAGGCUCUGGUGUUUGCUCUCCACAAGGUGGCACGGGGAAGGCAAAUCAAGUAGCAGGUGUUCAGGAGCACCAGUAUGGCUGUGGAGAGCUUCCCAGAGCUUCUGCAGAAACUGCGGGAGGUACAUGAGCAUGACCUAGAAGGAUGGCAGGAGAAAGUACUGGAACUGACCAAUAAAAAGAAUAUUGAUACAAAGCGUAUGGAAGAACUUUACAACAGGAACCAACAGCUAAGAGAACAACAACGGAUGCUCACUGAGAACAUCAAACAACUGGAGAACAGGUUGCGAGCUGGCUUGUGCGACAGGUGUACAGUCACUCAGGAUGUGGCUAAAAAAAGACAGCAAGAGUAUGAAAAUUCUCAGCUCCAGAGUUUACAGCAUAUCUCACUACUGGUGACUGAGAUGAGUGCACUGAAGAAAGAAAAUGACAGACUGAGAGAGGAGCUGAAGAGCCUGAGGGAACGAACAAAUCGGCAGAAUGGUCAUUCAGAGGACUCAAUCACUCCUGAAGUCAAUUUGUCACUGGAGACUGCAGUGGCUGCGGUUACUCUAAUGACCUCAGGGCUGAAGUCCAGCCAGCCACCACCAGGGGACGCCACCGUACCUGCAGCGACUGGCAAGAGUGAAACGGAAAACAGUCCAAAUGACAGCCUGGAAAAAGCCUCUGAGCACAAACGUAUACAAGGUUGGGGCAGAGCAAUUUCAUUUGAGUCUAAUAAGUCCACAUUGUCCAUCUCAAGUCCAAGGAGAUGGGGCACAGAGCAUGGACCAGAAAGGAGAGCUGCCAGUGUAGACUCGUUGGAGCAAGGGCGUUCCCCUUUGUCUUCUCUUCCCUCUCCUUUUAAUUUACUGAAGAGCAAUCCUAUUUUUUCCUCUAUCAUCUCUGAGGAAUGUAGCAACCGGCAACAAAUCCACACCCCUGUUCCCUUCCGACCACUUCCAAUGAAGAAUGGUCACCUACCCUGGCCGCUCUCAGAAUCCACUGAUUGGGUAACAGUGUCAGUGCCCAGCUCUGGCAUUAGAAGUGGGAUGGUAGUUCACCCAAGCCAGACCCAAAUUCCAAGCUCAAAUAUACUGCGAUUCCCUAAACUGGUCUCACAAAUCAAUGGCCUCCAAUCUCACACACAUGGCCCCAGCCCUAUUAGUCUGCGGGCCUGGUCAGAGCACCCUCCACGCAGAAGUAGAGAAAAGAUAUUGGCAGACGUGGAAGAUAUUACAAAUCCGCACCAGUGGAGGUCCUCAGCAACGCAGCUAGAGAGGAUUUUUGGAGAGAACCUGAGAGAGGAUGAAGAGGAGGUACCAUUGGACCUGUCAGAGUCAGGAUGCUCAAAAAGCAAAGAGAAAGAAAAAACACAGUCACAGAGUGAUGCAUCUUCAUCUUCCUCACUGUCUGCUCCAUUUUCAUCAUUGUCCCAGUGCACAUCCAAUCCUCAGAGUGACCUGCAGACAGGAGACAAUAAUACACAGGAGGAUGAAGCACAGCAAAAAUUUGAGGAACAAGAAGAGGUAAAAGAAGAUGAGACUUCUCCAGCACUUGAAAUGCCUGUCAACUCAGAAAACAUGCAAAUUCCUUCACUGACCAUUUCCCUCCAACCAGUUGUGGUUAUGGAGACACUUAAACCUGGAGGACAGACAGUGAAGGUCACUGAUCCAGGGACAAGAUCAGUGGAGCCAGAGCAGAAGGAAAAUAACAACCAUGAAACAAGCAGAAAAAGAGCAGGGCAAGAUACUGAUUCUCUUUCUCAGCGUUCACUAAAAGAGAAGAAAAUAAGGUCAAGCAGAUGAACUCAAGGAAAAAAAACAUGCAGAGCCAGAUCAAGCAUGAAGGUCUCUAUUUUUUUUACAGGCAAUGGAUGCAACCAGUAUCAUGCUGUUACUGUGGUUAUUCGGCCGGCCAUUUUGUCUUCAUCUUCCAUCACCAGCCACUAAAUCUCUGGUGUUUGCUUGAGUUAACUGAAACACUUAACCUUAUCGGCACCUCUGUCAACAUAAAUCUAAUUUAACAAACAGAAUGCAUACAGCAGUACACCAGAAUUCAAUUCUGUCUAAUAUCAGUGUAUGCAAGUAAGCUAGUUUCCUGUUUUUUUGUUGUUUUUUUUUGUUUGUUUUUUGCUUGGUUUUUUUUUUGUUUGUUUUGUUUUUCAUACUUGAGAAGAACUUUGUAUUACAUAUAAGUCUUCAAAUAUUUCGCUCUGAAAUACAAGACAUUUGAUACUUGGGUGGAUUUUACACCAAUCUUUGUCUGCACCAAAACAGGAACCAAAUAAUUGUUCUUGUCCUUACUGACAAGUGGCUGUUACUGAACAAUUGACCAGAUAGUCAUUAAUUUUCACCAGUUCACAUUCUUUUUCCUUUUUUGUUCAUGAAACAUUAAACAUAUACAUGCACUUGU